rnacentral:rRNA from 1 species
UACGUAGGGGGCAAGCGUUGUCCGGAAUUAUUGGGCGUAAAGCGCGUGUAGGCGGCCAGAUAAGUCCGCUGUGAAAGUCAAAGGCUCAACCUUUGAAAGCCGGUGGAUACUGUGAGGCUAGAGUACGGAAGAGGCGAGUGGAAUUCCUGGUGUAGCGGUGGAAUGCGCAGAUAUCAGGAGGAACACCAAUAGCGAAGGCAGCUCGCUGGGACGUUACUGACACUGAGGCGCGAAAGCGUGGGGAGCGAACAGG